rnacentral:rRNA from 1 species
UGCAUGUCUAGUACAAACUAUAUUAAAGUGAAACCGCGAAAGGCUCAUUAAAUCAGUUAUGGUUCCUUAGAUCGUACCACAAUUACUUGGAUAACUGUGGUAAUUCUAGAGCUAAUACAUGCAAACAGAGCUCUGACCGGGGACGGAAGGAGUGCUUUUAUUAGAUCAAAACCAAUCGGUGGCGGUAACGUUUCGGCGUUAUCGUUCAUCGCUCAAUAUAUGGUGAAUCUGAAUAACUUUAUGCUGAUCGCAUGGUCUUGUACCGGCGACGCAUCUUUCAAAUGUCUGCCUUAUCAACUGUCGAUGGUAGGAUCUGCGCCUACCAUGGUUGUAACGGGUAACGGGGAAUCAGGGUUCGAUUCCGGAGAGGGAGCCUGAGAAACGGCUACCACAUCCAAGGAAGGCAGCAGGCGCGCAAAUUACCCACUCCCGGCACGGGGAGGUAGUGACGAAAAAUAACGAUACGGGACUCAUCCGAGGCCCCGUAAUCGGAAUGAGUACACUUUAAAUCCUUUAACAAGGACCAAUUGGAGGGCAAGUCUGGUGCCAGCAGCCGCGGUAAUUCCAGCUCCAAUAGCGUAUAUUAAAGUUGUUGCGGUUAAAAAGCUCGUAGUUGAAUUUGUGUCCCGCACUGUCGGUUCACCGCCCGCGGUGCUAACUGGCAUGUUUGCGGGACGUCCUGCCGGUGGAUGUUCAGUUGUUAUUUGAUCCUUUGGGUUAUUUACAACUUCAUCCGACUUUGAAAUCCUGUCGCGGUGCUCUUAAUUGAGUGUCGAGGCGGGCCGGCACGUUUACUUUGAACAAAUUAAAGUGCUCAAAGCAGGCUAAUUAAUGCCUGAAUAAUUAGUGCAUGGAAUAAUGAAACAGGACCUUGGUUCUAUUUUGUUGGUUUUCGGAACCCCAAGGU